CUUCAGUGUGAUGCAGAGUUUGGAAAAAUGUUUCCGGGGGAGGAGGACCUUCGGAUAUGGGAAGGACACAUCAUUCCAAAAGUCCUAAAAGUGGCAACACUUGAAAAUGACCCCAAGGAGAGAGAAUGAGGUCUUCAGCUUCUGGCACACUAUCUGCCUCCUACUGCGUCAGGAAGGGCCAAAGGAGGGACCAGAUAAAGUGUAAAAUCAGCCCUCUUACAUCUUGGACCUUAGACCGGCCAGGAGUAUCAACAACAGUCAGAUCCUGAUCAUCAAGGUGUCUCGUCUCUUUGCGGCACUCUUGUGUCACAGAUGAUGAACUUUUUCCAG